GCCAGCGGCGAUAGCACGUUGAAUACACCAGUUCCCCAUGGAUCGCCAAAGUUAAGCUACGUUGCUCAUGGUAGGUAUCCGGAUGAGUGACCAUUACCCAAAUUCCUGGUCCUACUCAGGCU
rnacentral:rRNA from 1 species